GACGAACGCUGGCGGCGUGCCUAAUACAUGCAAGUUGAGCGAUGAAGAUUGGUGCUUGCACCAAUUUGAAGAGCAGCGAACGGGUGAGUAACGCGUGGGGAAUCUGCCUUUGAGCGGGGGACAACAUUUGGAAACGAAUGCUAAUACCGCAUAACAACUUUAAACAUAAGUUUUAAGUUUGAAAGAUGCAAUUGCAUCACUCAAAGAUGAUCCCGCGUUGUAUUAGCUAGUUGGUGAGGUAAAGGCUCACCAAGGCGAUGAUACAUAGCCGACCUGAGAGGGUGGUCGGCCCCCACGGGACUGGGAAACGGCCCAAGCUCCUACGGGAGGCAGCAGUAGGGAAUCUUCGGCAAUGGACGAAAGUCUGACCGAGCAACGCCGCGUGAGUGAAGAAGGUUUUCGGAUCGUAAAACUCUGUUGGUAGGGAAGAACGUUGGUGAGAGUGGAAAGCUCAUCAAGUGACGGUAACUACCCAGAAAGGGACGGCUAACUACGUG
rnacentral:rRNA from 1 species